UACGGAGGGUGCAAGUGUUAUCCGGAAUCACUGGGCGUAAAGCGUCUGUAGGUGGUCAAAUAAGUCAACUGUUAAAUCUUGAGGCUCAACCUCAAAAUCGCAGUCGAAACUAUUAGACUAGAGUAUAGUAGGGGUAAAGGGAAUUUCCAGUGGAGCGGUGAAAUGCGUAGAGAUUGGAAAGAACACCGAUGGCGAAGGCACUUUACUGGGCUAUUACUAACACUCAGAGACGAAAGCUAGGGUAGCAAACGGG
rnacentral:rRNA from 1 species